GGAGAACCCUCGCCUGUCUAAAGGGGGCAGCAGGUCCUCAGCCUCAGCCAUUGGCUGCGGCACGAGAACUCAGAACAAAUGUGGCCUGACCUUCCCAGAAACGCUGGGAAUCCUAGUUUAUGACUUUGGUGUUCAAUUCAAAUAAAAAAACUCACAAACAAUAACCACCAACAUAGCUAACAACAUUAUGGGACGCACAGAACAGGUCCUGGAGCAGUGCUGGACUGCAGGAAGUUAAAACAAAGUUCCAGAAAGGCCAGCGGUCCUCAGGAGUCCGAUUUGCCCCACAGAGAAGACUCAAAAAGCACCUGAAGGGCCACGAAGGCAGCCCGAAGUCACUGCUCCUCACCCGUUAGGGGACACGGCAGCAUCGUUAAACAUGCGUGCACCAGCCUCCCUCGGGGAGGAUUUUGAGGAGGACAGCUCUCAUUGACCUGCACGUACUGGGGCAGUUGCUCAAUGACGGUCCCAGCGGUUUACACUCCCAGCCCAAAAAGCGAGCUCCUGGGGAACCAGAGGGUGUUUCUGGAGUUGCUCUAGGAGGCUGCAAUACCGCCGAUGUCCACUGGGGGUCUCUCUCGCACCACUGAUGGCAUCACCACCUCCAAGUCUAGCUGGGGCGGGGUUACUGCUGGGGAAGCAAGGUCAGGCCCAGCCUCUGUGGAAGGAUUGCCGUGCCCUUCACGGUGAUGUGACUGCCUGAAGUUGGAUGCAUCCUGCUCUUGAACAUCUCGGGCACGGCUUAGCCCAGGAGACAGCAGCUCGUCCCUGAGUGUGGGGUGGCCUGGCUGGUGCCUAUUCUGGAUGGCCCAUUUGAAAGAGGAUCAGAAAGGAUUUCAUCUGAAAAGGAAUCAAGUGCAAAUCAAGUGCUUUCACUUCCUGAAUUGUUUGCAGCGCACAAGGUUGUUCUGAACGUGGGCUCUGAGUCAUGGGGGAGCCCAGGUUGUCUGCCCAACCGGGGGAGCCAGGGGAUCUGACACAGAGGCCAGAGAAGGGAUGCUGUCAGGCCAGAGACUGGCUUAGAACCAACAUGCUUCUUCCUUGUUCUGGGUUCAGUCACACAAAUGAGCAGAGGCAGCAGCCUCCGGGCCCAGAGAAACAGUCCACAAAGACAAGAAAGAGAACGCUGGGCUGGGGGAUGCGUGUUGCGGCCAUGAAAGCAAUGCCUUCUACGGAGAAGGCCGGGAAGCCUGGACCCUUGGGAGCAGCCGUGUUGGGGCAUUGGGAGGAGGAAAGCGGGGGAUGUGUCACAGUGCUUAUUGGUCUGUUUCUGUUCCUCUCCCCUGCCCCCCAUUCCUCCCACUGCCCCCGAGACAAGAUGCUGUUAGGAAAAUAGGGGCUGCUUGGCCCCACUGAACCCUCUCAUCUACCAUCAGGAAAAUGGUGGCUCUCCCAGUAUCGUUAUGGUCCCGCUCAGCCCCCGGGGCUCGGGACAGGGUCUCCCUUCAUCUUCUCGGGUCCUUUUAUGGCAGCUCUGGGUCUCCCAAGGAAUGGUGCUGGAAAGAAGACUUUUGUCUUUUUUGUACUGGUUUUCCUGACUAAAUAUCAUAGUCAUUGCAGAAAAUUUGGCAAACAGAGACAUGAGUAAAAAGGAAAUGUACAAGGGGCGCCUGGGUGGUUCAGUCGGUUGAGCAUCCGACUUCAGCUCAGGUCACGCUCUCACAGAUCGUGAGUUUGAGCCCCGCAUCGGGCUCUGGGCUGACAGCUUGGAGCCUGGAGCCUGCUUCGGGUUCUGUGUCUCCCUCUCUUUCUGCCCCUCUCCUGCUCAUGCUUAGUCUCUCUCUCUCUCUCUCUCUCUCUCGCUCUCUCUCUCUGCCCCUCCCCCACUUGUGCUGUCUCUCUCUCUCUCUCUCUUGAAAAUUAAAAAAAAAAUGUACAGAAUGAUUUUAGACUGAAAACCAGAUUAAUUCAGGAAACAAUUACUUUAUUGAGCACCUAGUAUGUGCCGGGAGCUGUUCUUGGUGCUGGGGAUGCUGCAUGAACAAAGAAAAGUCCUUGGCCUCUCGGAGUGUCUAUUCUAGUAGAAGAGACGGUGAGUAGAGCAGGGGAAGGGCCACCUUUAUUGAUAUGGGGCCAGAAAACGAGGAAGCGACAUGGUGGGUAUCAGAGGAAGAGCGUGUCAGGCAGAAGGAAUGGAAGUGUGGCAGGAACCUGCCUGGUGUGUUCAGGGGUGUGAGGGAGGCCAGCAUGGCUGCAGCAGGUGAGCAAAGAGGGUAUGGAAGGAGAGGAGGCAGGGACAGCUGGCCGAAGACACGUGGGGACUUGUCAAUUGUGGUGAAGGCUUCAGAUUACUACUGAAUGAGACAGAAAUCCAACGUAGGCUCUUGAUCAGCAGAGCAACCGACCGGCCUUAUGCUUUGAGAUAAUCACUCUGGAUGCUGGAUGGAAAGCAGGCGGGGCCUGGGGGUUGGCAUGGGUAGGAGCUGGGAUACCAGUUAGGUUACUGCGGUAAUGCAGGGGAGAGAGUCUUCCUUGACCCCCCCUGGAGCCCCUGGCUAGGGCUGGAAAUCCCACUCACGAAGGCCAAUCAACAGGAGAAAAGCCCGCACAAGAGAACGCGGACCCAAAGUGGUGACCGGAUCAGGAGGCUUUAGGCAAAGAAACGAUACAGUUUGAAGAACUGGCAAGACACAGGGUCAGGGCCACGGGCAGCGAGUUUGUUUCUACGGCCUUCUCAGCUCCCAGUUCCCUGUCACCAGUGACGUCUUCCUGCCUUUGGGUGCCUUUCACAUGGGAGAUUUUAUCUCCUGGUUUCAGGACAAAAAGAGUCAGGGAGGCCUUGUGGCCUCAGCUGUUUCUUAGGUGCCUUGAAUUAGAACAAUAUGCCACGGUGUUGAGUCUUGGGGCAACGUGUUCUGCCCCCCUUUGAUAGUAAUACCAAGCUGUAACAGUGGAGGGAGCUGCCCUGGGGGAGGCCUGGAGCCUCUCCCCUGGGGUUCCUGCUGCUUCUUCUCAGUGGCCUCUCGGAGAGUCCACUCUGGAACCCCAAGAUGCCUGGCUGCACAGUUUGAAAACCGCUGGAAGGGAAGGUCUCUAAGGGCACCUCUGGCUCCGGGCUCCCGGGCUCCCGUGGCCCUGCGGGCCGGGCUGUUUGAGGCCCAGACCUGAUUGAUUCCAUGAGAGGCAGCCUGGCUUCCAUUUUCUAGGCCUCUGAAAAUGCCGACUUGGAAACUGGACGGGUUUUUCAGGGUCCAGAAAGGGGAGGGAUUUUGAAAAUUAACUCAACGUCCAGGUGCAGAACGUUGGCCAGCCCUGCGUAGGAAUUGUAAGGAGGAGUAAAACAAAGCACUUGCCCCAAGGAACCCACCAGCUGGCCCAGGAGCUAGGAGGUCAUACCAAUGACAAAAGGGGUCUGUGACCCCCUGGCCCUGACUUGCUUCCAUAUGCCCUGGGCCCGUGGUUCCCAAACCGGGUCGGCCAUGAGGGCACCUGGGAAGCUUUAGACCACACAGGCUUCCAGAGGGUUUUCUCGUAGAUCCCUCAGUCUCUCCUCCUUAGUCUCUCAGAACCUCUCCGGGCUGAGCUAGUGGUCUGUGAAACCACUUAGCACCCUGAAAUGUCCUAAGGACACCACCAACAUGGAGGGAGAUAUUCUCACAGAGCCCCACAGAUCUCACAGAGGGGGAGCCCUCACCAGAGAGAAACAACUGGGAGGCGAGGCUGGCUGAACAGGUGGGACCUGAAAGUCCAUGCCAGAACCUGAAGAAAAUUGGACAUUUCCAAACAGAAAGAGAGAGAGAGA